rnacentral:rRNA from 1 species
GACGUAGGGCGCGAGCGUUGUCCGGAUUUAUUGGGCGUAAAGAGCUCGUAGGCGGCUUGUCGCGUCGACUGUGAAAUCCCGCGGCUCAACUGCGGGUCUGCAGUCGAUACGGGCAGGCUAGAGUUCGGUAGGGGAGACUGGAAUUCCUGGUGUAGCGGUGAAAUGCGCAGAUAUCAGGAGGAACACCGGUGGCGAAGGCGGUGGGCUGGGCCGGCACUGACGCUGAGGAGCGAAAGCGUGGGGAGCGAACAGG